ACGCUCACACCUACGGGGCAGCAGUCGGGAAUAUUGCGCAAUGGAGGAAACUCUGACGCAGUGACGCCGCGUAUAGGAAGAAGGUUUUCGGAUUGUAAACUAUUGUCGUUAGGGAAGAGAAAGGACAGUACCUAAGGAGGAAGCUCCGGCUAACUACGUGCCAGCAGCCGCGGUAAUCUGAGCGGGCUGGCAAGGC
rnacentral:rRNA from 1 species